GAUGAACGCUGGCGGCGUGCUUAACACAUGCAAGUCGAACGAUGAAGCCCAGCUUGCUGGCUGGAUUAGUGGCGAACGGGUGAGUAACACGUGAGUAACCUGCCCUUAACUCUGGGAUAAGCCUCGGUAACUAGGUCUAAUACCGGAUACGAGCGCCUACCGCAUUUUGGUUGUUAGAUUGAUUUAUUGGUUUUGGAUGUACGCGAGGCCUAUCAGCUUGUGUGUGAGGUAUGGGUUCAUCAAGGCUACGCAGGGAGGCCGGCCUGAGAGGGAGACCGGCCACACUGGGAUUGAGGCGGGAGCCGGACUCAUUCGGCAGGCAGCGGUGGGGAAUAGUGCACGAUGGGCGACAGCCUGAUGCAGCGACGCCGGGUGAGGGAUGACGGCCUGUGGGGUGUAAACCUCUUGAGGGAGGGAAGAAGCGAAAGUGACGGUACCUGCAGAGGAAGCGCCGGCUAACUACGUG
rnacentral:rRNA from 1 species